UUAUGCUGUUGGAUCUGCCUAAGUGUACCAGAUCCUGCCUAAUCUUGGAAGCUAAGCAGACUCAGCCCUGGUUAGUACUUGAAUGGAAGACUGCCAGUAAAUACCAGGGGCUGUGAACU
rnacentral:rRNA from 1 species